GACGAACGCUGGCGGCGUGCUUAACACAUGCAAGUCGAACGGUGAAGCGCCUUCCUUUUUGGUGGGUGUGGAUGAGUGGCGAACGGGUGAGUAACACGUGAGUAACCUGCCCCCUUCUUCUGGAUAACCGCAUGAAAGUGUGGCUAAUACGGGAUAUUCUGGGUCUGUCGCAUGAUGGGUCUGGGAAAGAUAUUGUUUCGGUGGGGGAUGGUCUCGCGGCCUAUCAGCUUGUUGGUGGGGUGAUGGCCUACCAAGGCGGUGACGGGUAGCCGGCCUGAGAGGGUGGACGGUCACACUGGGACUGAGACACGGCCCAGACUCCUACGGGAGGCAGCAGUGGGGAAUAUUGCACAAUGGGCGCAAGCCUGAUGCAGCGACGCCGCGUGAGGGAUGGAGGCCUGCGGGUUGUGAACCUCUUUCGCCAGUGAAGCAGGCCUGCCUCGUUUGUGGGUGGGUUGACGGUAGCUGGAGAAGAAGCGCCGGCUAACUACGUG
rnacentral:rRNA from 1 species